AUUAGCAAUUACAUUGGACAGCCUGACUUGCAACUCUUCCUGCGUCGAGUACCUAUUGGUGGAGUUAGUCCUGCUUUCAGCCAAUCGGUAUGCGGGGGCUGAAUCUACGCUCGUCAACAUUGGGUUCUGUAUGCUCAGAAAGGGCGUCUCCUCGCCUAUUCGUUCGUCUUCCGUUUCACUGUCGGAGCUACUGCUCUCCGAGAUUGGAUUGCUCUCAGUCUCCAUUCUCUGCGAAAUGUGGCCAUUAGCCUUUGUUCUUUUCCCUCUCCUGUUGCCGGCCCCUUUCUUGGGGGACUCGAGCGUCGGCUCGUACUCUUGGGUGGUCUCGUACUCGUCAUCCUCGACCACCCGUAGUGGGCUGGCUGGGAUGCUGCCACUGUCCUGGGCGGAGUUGUGGUACUGCUUGUACGGGUCUUGCCUCUUCUCCCGCUGACGAGGCGGGAUCACCAGAAGCAGAGGCCUCUCCUCCUCAAUUAAAGGGCUAAUGGUCACUGAUGGCAUGGAUAUAGUCAGGCUAGACACUGGCGGUGAUAGCUCGCAGUUGGGCGACUUUUGGGACACCGGUGUUCGGAAGUCCACUGGAGACAUUCUGGCUGGAGUGGUCAUGGCAGAGACAAACCUAGAACAUCAUGAACAGCAGCAAUGAAGAGGACAACCAAAAACACAAGAUCUAAUAAACAGUCUCCUCUGCUCCUUGAUAAGAGACAGUUCUUGCAGAUGCAGUACACUACCGUGCAUAUAAAUGGCUGAAGGACCUACCUUUCACUAUGUGGUGAAUCUCGGAGAGAGUCUGGAGUGUCUCUGGAAUUCCUUACACAGAUAAGCAUCUCUCGUCGACCCGCCACCCCGUUGAGUCGUCCUCGGUGAUUGAUUGGGCUGGUGUGCCUGCUGGUUUCAAUUGACGAUGUUACCAGCACAGAGGGGCUGUCUGAGAUGACACUUUCUAUUUGGCCUGUACUCCAACUAUGGCCAAUACAAAAGAGAAACAUCUUUAAAUCAUUUGUUCAAUAAUGUCUUCAUGUCUGUUUCUUUUGAGAUGUAGGAGACGGAAGGGCCUUCAGUGAUUACUUUCUAGGGGUGACUGUAGUGUCCCUGUAGUGCUAUUAGCCUGAUGUUGCGGUAUCUUGUGCAGCCAGCUCAUUGCCUGUUUCAUUGUGACUUAGAGCAUGAAGCAUUGGAGCACAGCAGGCCCAGAAUGUUAAUCCAAGUAGCAUAGCCUUUAUGUACCAGCAUAUGGGCAGUGAAUGAUAGUGGGCAAAGGAGAAGGAUACAAAAUUUCCUUAAAAAUAUUGACCACCAAUGAACAAGAAAGGGGCAAUAUUCCAUUCCAACUCAAUGGUUAUUGCUCAGGUCCUCAGUUUUAGUUAGAGGGAGCUUAAUGCAAUUUUCCCAUACCUGAUGGCUUUAACUGAGCAUUGCUUGUUUGUGUAGAUCACCCAUUGCUUGUUAGGGUGGUGGUCUCAGAUCUCUGUGCAAAUAAACAAAUAGCCAAAUCCGAUGCAAAACUUCAGAUUGGACAUAUCGCAUGAUUGGUUUGCAGUUAUAAAGUGGACUAAUCAAUGCCAUGUUUCAUUGUGAAACGCUGCACAUUAAGGAAUGUGACUUUGUUCAUUCUUUUCCUCCUUGGCACAUGGCAAAUGAAACUCAAGUGUGAAGCAGCAUCUUUAUUGGAAAUGAAAUUAAGGAAAGCUGUCAAUGGGAGGUCAAGCCAAUAUCAAGUGGCUUGUAGUAUUGUCCACGUCAGAAUUAGAAAGCAACUAAACAGUGCCUUCAAGUCAAGCAGGGAUAGACAAUAGGAAACAAUCAGACUGCGGUGUUCUGAUAUUAUUCAGCACGCAUUUUAAACUCUCACAUUUGAGCUAAUGUUUGCAUCAUCACAUUUGUAAUGGCUUAUGUUAAGGUAUCAUACUGUAACAUACUAGCCACCCAUCAACCCCACAACAACUACCCUCCAGUAACUGUGCAGGGGAUGGAGGAGAGUCAAUGUUUUAGACAGACAGCUGGCAACAUAAUAGGGUGAACAUAGGGAUUUAUAGAGGCAAACAUUAAGAGGAAUUGUGCACAGGAAAUAAGUUUUAAUUGACUAUAAAUGUAAUUAUAUGCUGUUUUCACUAUACUGUCUAUAUUUACCUUAUUUGUUACAAAAGCUUCGAACUAUGGUGGCAGUAAGAUAACUUAGUGAGUAGGGUUUAACUGAGGGGGCAGUGUGGUGGAAGAUUCCAGUUCUUCUGGCCUGGUGUCCAGGAUCAAAUGUGGUAACAAGCCCCAGUUUGAUCCCACUUAAGCUCAGCUUCAGUACCUGUACAUUGUCAUAGAUGUAUAUCUACAUGAUGUAUACUUUUCACCAGGUAUCAAUAUAUGAAGGUGUGGUUGGGGCCAUCUGUAGCUUUAACUCUUACCCAGUCUACUCACUUAUUCUAACAAUCUGAUUUUCUGGCCCAAGUCUUCUGUAUUAUUUGAUAGAGCUGAAGGUAAUGAGAUAUGAGUAACAAUGUCUUUUAUUUAAGUUUAACAUCAUCACCCACCACCACACUGUUCAUCUCAAAGAUUGAAACAUGUCUACCAUGAGCUUUUCUGAGGGUUUCCAACAUAAAAACUUACAUUGUAUUACAUACAAAUUACAGCAGUGAAAUAGACCAUUCAGUCCAAUGGUUCUAUGUCACUAUUUACAUUCUAAGCGAGCCUUCUCUUGCUCUUUUUCAAUUAAUCCUACUGGAAUGCUCUUAUAUUCAUACAGACAUAGAAAACAAAAGCAGGAGUAGGCCAUUCGGCCCUUUGAGUCUGCCCUGGCUGCUCAUCCAACUCAAUAUCCUGUUCCUGCUUUCUCCCUACACCAUUCGAUCACCUUAGCCCAUGAACUAUAGCUAACACUGUCUUGAAAACAUUCAGUGCUUUUGUGUCUAUUUCACUCUGUGGCAAGGAAUUCCACAGGCUUACUGCUCUCUGGGUGAAGUAUUUUCUCCUCACCUCAGUCCUAAAUGACCUAGCCCCCAACCCCAUCAUGUCCUUAGACCGUGAUCCCUGGUUCCUGACUCCGUGGUCAUCGUGAACAUCCUUGCUGUAUUUAGCCUGUCUAGUUCUGUUGGAAUUGUGUAGGUUUCUAUGAGGUCCAACCUCAUUCUCCUAAACUCCAAUGAAUAUAGUUCUAACUGGUCAGUUUCUAUUCAUACAUCAGUCCUGCUAACAUAGGAAUCAGUCUGGUAGACCUUUGUUGCACACCCUCCAUAGCCAGAACAUGCUUCCUAAGAUACUAAGACCACAACUGAACACAAUUCCUUUCUCCCUCCCUCUUACUAAGUUCCUUAUUAAAUCAUUCCAUGCAAUUUCCUCAACCAGUCCAUGUGGGAAUGAGUUGCCCAUUCCCACCAUCAUCUGAGUAAAGAGGUUUCCCCUAAAGUCUUUAUUAGGUGUCUAUUUUAUAUUGCUGGACACUCGCCUUCCUUUAGUAGGAAACAUAAUUUAAAGAUUGCUACCAGUUCUCCAAGGUUGGUCUAAUCAAGGUUCUUUACACCAGCUCCUUGGUUUUCAAUUCUCUCUCUCUAGGCGCUCAUCUUUAAGAGGAAUCCACUGGAAAAUCCAUCUAUCCUGGACCAACCUCACGAUCAAGUUUCCAGUAGACUCAUGUCUGGCUGAGCACUCUCUCAAAAGAAACGUAUGUGAAUUUGGAGGGGAAGAGAGUGAACAGCAGCAUUUUUUGUUUGUGUUUAUUUUUAUUUGAAACAUUAAACCUGUAAUUCUGUGAAAUGCCAAAGAUGUUGAAACAUGUGGGUUCUUUCAAACAGAAGACAUUGGGGCAGGAACAAAGAGCGCUUGUUGACUCAUCAGGUUAUCCCUCUCUGCCAGUGUACAGCGAGCGAAGUGCAAAUUGCAAAGGCAAAGACAAAAAUGAGUCAGGGCUUUCUGGAGUGGGCGACAAAGUAGCACAUCCAACUAUGUAGGAUUGAAGUUAGUGGGUAGGGCUGUGUGGGGAUGAGGCUGGAUACUGAGCCGGACGAAGGGUUUAAAUGAAAUAAUGUAUGCUGGGCA